rnacentral:rRNA from 1 species
CCUACGGGAGGCAGCAGUAAGGAAUCUUCCACAAUGGACGAAAGUCUGAUGGAGCAACGCCGCGUGCAGGAUGAAGGCUUUCGGGUCGUAAACUGCUUUUAUAUGGGAAGAUUAUGACGGUACCAUAUGAAUAAGGACCGGCUAACUACGUGCCAGCAGCCGCGGUAAUACGUAGGGUCCAAGCGAUAUCCGGAAUUACUGGGCGUAAAGCGUGUGUAGGUGGAUUAAUAAGUGUGAUGCGAAAUCCGGCGGCUCAACCGUUUGGACUGUGUCGCAUACUGUUAGUCUAGAGGACGGCAGAGGUAAGUGGAAUUACGGGUGUAGCAGUGAAAUGCGUAGAUAUCCGUAGGAACACCAAUGGCGAAGGCAGCUUACUGGGCCACACCUGACACUGAGACACGAAAGCGUGGGGAGCGAACAGGAUUAGAUACCCUGGUAGUCCACGCCGUAAACGAUGCAUACUAUUAGUAUGGGGUAUCGACCCCCUGUGCUGAGAAGCUAACGCGAUAAGUAUGCCGCCUGGGGAGUACGAGCGCAAGCUUAAAACUACAAAGGAAAUUGACGGCUGAGAGNGCGAGAGACACGAGGAGGAGG